CAGCAGGCGCGCAAAUUACCCACUCCCGGCACGGGGAGGUAGUGACGAAAAAUAACGAUACGGGACUCAUCCGAGGCCCCGUAAUCGGAAUGAGUACACUUUAAAUCCUUUAAUGAGGAUCCAUUGGAGGGCAAGUCUGGUGCCAGCAGCCGCGGUAAUUCCAGCUCCAAUAGCGUAUAUUAAAGUUGUUGCGGUUAAAAAGCUCGUAGUUGAAUCUGUGUGUCACGAUGCUGGUUCUCCGCUCGCGGUGUUAACUAGCAUGCCGUGAGACGUCCUACCGGUGGGCUUAGCUCUUUGCGGGGCGGUCCAACUAAUAUCCCAUCGCGGUGCUCUUCAUCGAGUGUCGAGGUGGGCCGGUACGUUUACUUUGAACAAAUUAGAGUGCUUAAAGCAGGCUGUCUUCGCCUGAAUACUGUGUGCAUGGAAUAAUGGAAUAGGACCUCGGUUCUAUUUUGUUGGUUUUCGGAACCCCGAGGUAAUGAUUAAUAGGGACAGAUGGGGGCAUUCGUAUUGCGACGUUAGAGGUGAAAUUCUUGGAUCGUCGCAAGACGGACAGAAGCGAAAGCAUUUGCCAAAAAUGUUUUCAUUAAUCAAGAACGAAAGUUAGAGGUUCGAAGGCGAUCAGAUACCGCCCUAGUUCUAACCAUAAACGAUGCCAGCUAGCGAUCCGCCGAAGUUCCUCCGAUGACUCGGCGGGCAGCUUCCGGGAAACCAAAGCUUUUGGGUUCCGGGGGAAGUAUGGUUGCAAAGCUGAAACUUAAAGGAAUUGACGGAAGGGCACCACCAGGAGUGGAGCCUGCGGCUUAAUUUGACUCAACACGGGAAACCUCACCAGGCCCGGACACCGGAAGGAUUGACAGAUUGAGAGCUCUUUCUUGAUUCGGUGGGUGGUGGUGCAUGGCC
rnacentral:rRNA from 1 species